UACGUAGGGUGCAAGCGUUGUCCGGAAUUAUUGGGCGUAAAGAGCUCGUAGGCGGUUUGUUGCGUCGGCUGUGAAAACCCGGGGCUCAACCCCGGGCCUGCAGCCGAUACGGGCAGACUAGAGUUCGGCAGGGGAGACUGGAAUUCCUGGUGUAGCGGUGAAAUGCGCAGAUAUCAGGAGGAACACCGGUGGCGAAGGCGGCAUCCUGGACCGGUAUUGACGCUGAGGCGCGAAAGCCAGGGGAGCAAACGGG
rnacentral:rRNA from 1 species